rnacentral:rRNA from 1 species
AUUGAACGCUGGCGGCAUGCCUUACACAUGCAAGUCGAACGGCAGCACGGGAGCAAUCCUGGUGGCGAGUGGCGAACGGGUGAGUAAUAUAUCGGAACGUGCCCAGUCGUGGGGGAUAACGUAGCGAAAGCUACGCUAAUACCGCAUACGAUCUAUGGAUGAAAGCGGGGGAUCGCAAGACCUCGCGCGAUUGGAGCGGCCGAUAUCAGAUUAGGUAGUUGGUGAGGUAAAGGCUCGCCAAGCCGACGAUCUGUAGCUGGUCUGAGAGGACGACCAGCCACACUGGGACUGAGACACGGCCCAGACUCCUACGGGAGGCAGCAGUGGGGGGAAUUUUUUGGGACAAUGGGCGCAAGCCUGAUCCAGCAAUGCCGCGUGCAGGAUGAAGG